AACGUUCCUUAAAGUCGAGAAUUCUGCAAGGUUAUUGGCAUAAUUAUGCUUGGUUAAUACUAAAUUUCAAACUAAAAUGUGUAAUCAAACAAGAAAAUGUUUACUAAGUGUGGCAAGGUUGUAUGUAAUAUUCUUCUGAAUAUUUAAUAAAGAGUAGACGACAGACCAGUUCAGUGUAACAAAAAUCAAUAACUACUUGGUAAAAAUAGUUUAAUUGUGACACCAGAUGAAAUCCGUGCAGCCCUUGGAAGAUUCGUGAAAUGUGUAAUAUAUGUACAGACAAAUUUUUUGACUCAUGGUCAGUAAAUGAAAAUGCAUUCGUCAUUUUAUAAUAGAUGAAGAUGUACUCCAUUAUCCAGAUGUCAGUAUCUGAGAAAUCUAGGACCAAUCAAUGCAAUGGUGUUUCGAUAUUCAAAUGAGUCAAGAGGCAAAAUAUUAGAUGUGACUUAACAGUUAACAUGUGGCUUAGAAAACACAUAUACCGCAGGAUAUUUGAAUUGACAAUAAUUGACAAAUUAAGCUGAUGCUUACAUUUAGGGUUCCUCAGAACCUUUCCAGUUGUGUUUAUCCAUAAUCAAAUAAGUCUGAAAUCAGAAUAUUAGGUGUGGUGUGACAUGUGGUCUGACGUCCAAGAAUUCUGUUAAACCUCUUCAUCUUUAGUCUGAACUGCAGUUAACAACAAGAAUUUUUGUGCAAUAAUACACGAUAAAAAGUUUGAAUCCAUCUGAAAAAUGUUCAACGAGAUGAAUAUUUAAAACUGAACAUUCUGGACCUGAACAUGCACUGUUAUGUGGAAACAUGAAAUUCCAUGAAACAAAACUUCUUGCCUUGAUAAGUGGAUAUCAUACCAAAAGGGUUUGGGUAGCCAUUGAGAUCUACAAACAUAAGAAACCAUAAAACUUUAUAAAGCUUGGGCACCAUUUCAUAAAAAUAUAAAAAUCUGCUAAGCAGAUAAGAAGUUGUCAUUUUUGUUUUUUUAAUCAUAAAUCGUAUAAUUUGCAACAGUGUCAAUUUAAGGUUUAUAACCUGCUGCUCCACAAACAUUGGAGUAUGUUAUUACUGGAUGCAUUAAUAUACGUGUAAUGGUUUUUGGUUUCAGUUUAUUCAAACAGUUGCAGUGAUGGUUGUUAAUUUCAUACAGCAUUUCCUUCAUAUUUCAAAAUUGUCAAAUGAAUUGUUCUUCUUAAACUCUUGAUGAUCACUGAAGAUAUGCCGUCACUUCGUAAUUGACGAUCAUUGGACAUGUUUCAUGGAAACAAACACUGUUGUUAGUUAUGACGCUUGCUUCGUUCUAGUUCCUCGAUCUGGUUGGACUUCUUCAGUUCUUUGAAAUUUACCAAAUAAAUUGAUCUUUCUGAAUUGUUUGUGACGAAUGAAGAUAUGUCGUCAUUUUCUAAAUUGCAUUCAUUCCUUUGUUGUUUCCCUUCGUUAUACUUUGAUAUAUUUUGAAUUUCUUCUGGACAUAAACUUCAUUUCAUUCGUUUCAUGGAAACCAAUACUGUCGUCAGCAUGGUUUUUCUUUUAUUUGACCUGGUUGUAGUUGAAUGAUAUUCUUCUUGCGAGUCCUCAAUGGAACUGAAUUGUUGAAACUUGUUUUAGAUUGAAGCGGAUCUCCGUUUUCUUGCUGCUCUUCCAUUUGGAUGUUCUUCAAUCAACCUUUUUUAAUAAUUUAAAUAUAUCUUUGGAAAUUCCAUUUUC